CCCCGUUUAUGACUUCUCACCUAAUCACCACCCGUGCUAUAUUCUACCUAAGUCACACCUAGGUAUGAGAACCUCCGCUCACCUCCUCUUGAUCACAGCCACUGUGAUCGUACACUUCUAGAUUCAACAGUUGAAGACACACUUCAUAAAACACAUACCAAUUCCUUACUUAAAAGCUUUGGAAUUGUAUACACACACUAUCUCCUUGCUUAGAAGCUCCAGAGAUAUUACAACACAAAGACACACAGUUCCUAAUCAGUGUAUAAAUCAACACAAGACUCAGAACACAAUUAACAAUACUAAAACCCUGAACACAUGCUUUGUAAGACUCAAAUCUGGUUUCAGUCAGUUGAACAAUGGUGUCAACCUUCUUUUAAA
rnacentral:lncRNA from 1 species